rnacentral:rRNA from 1 species
CAUGUCUUUUUGUUUAUGAUUUAAGGUCUGACCUGCCCAAUGAUUGUUUUAAAUGGCUGCAGUAUCCUGACUGUACAAAGGUAGCAUAAUCAUUAGUUUCUUAAUUGGAAGCUGGAAUGAAGGGUUUGAUGAGAAAUUUACUGUCUCAGUUUAAUUGUUUUAGAAUUUUAUUUUUAAGUGAAAAAGCUUAAAUUUUUUAAGAAGACGAGAAGACCCUAUAGAGUUUUAUAAAUUUUUGAUUUUUUAUUUUUUGUUUUUAAUGUUUUUAAUUAUUUGAUUUAUUUUGUUGGGGUGAUGCGAAAAUUUUUUAAACUUUUCUUGAUUUUUACACUAAUUAGUGAUUUGAUGAUCCUAUUUGGAUUAUAAGAAUAAAUUACCUUAGGGAUAACAGCGUAAUUUUUUUUGAAAGUUCUUAUUGAUAAAAAAGUUUGCGACCUCGAUGUUGGAUUAAAGUUUAUUUUUGGUGUAGAAGCUAGGAAAUUUAGGUCUGUUCGAC